rnacentral:lncRNA from 1 species
ACCCACAACGGCCAAGGCCCGCUACAGCGCGUCCACGAAGCCCUAGUACUGAGCCAGGACGGGGCUCUCCCUCUCGAUGUAGGGGACUACGAACUGCUCCGCCACUCGGUGAGGCAGCUAAUUAAGAAAGCCACCUUCAGGAUGUCUUUCGAGAAUCUAGCCUCGAAGAAAGUCAUGUAAGAGAACGCCUGCAUCAAAAAGUCGGGAGGCCGGGCGGAGUCGCCGUUAAACGUCUAGGGAAAGCCACCAGGUGGGCCAGCGAACGCUCCCGGGCCAGCAGGUAUAUAUUGGAAAAUAAAAUUUUAAAACAACGUGGCCAGAUAUAUGACAGAUCUUCAAUAGAUAUUUUAUAUUCUGUAUGUGAUAAUUCUGAAUCCUUGAGAAUCAAUAUCUGUUGUUUCUGAUGGCUCUUAUAAUGGCAUGUUUCUUUAUGUGUAUCAUGAGUUUAUAUAUAUGAACAAUUGUCUACUAAGUCUUUCACUAAUAUGGGAUACACAAGUUAUAAUAAUAAUAACUUAUAGUAACAAUAAGUUAUAAUAAUCAGCCAUCCUCAGUUGCCUGGUCCAUGUCGCAGUUAUUAAGUGGUAGAGCUCAGAAUUAAAUUCAGGUCUGUCUGACUUCAAAAACAACUUUUGCUCUCUCGGCUUAGCGCCAUCUUCUUGGAAACCUCUGCACCAUGAGAGCCAAGCAGAGAAAGAAGUGAAUGCGCAGGCUGAAACGCAGAAGAAGAAAGGUGAGGCAGAGGUCCAAGUAAACUGCUAGCUUGUGCACCCGCGGAGGCCACAGCAGCAGAAACAUGAAGUGCCAGAGGCUGGGGAUGCUGGCACAAGUUGUUGGACUGCAUGCUACUGUCUAGAGCUUGUCUCAAUGGAUCUAGAACUUUCGUUGCCAUCUGAUCGCUGAGACCACCUCUGAGACCCACCUUGCUAUAAUCAAAACUGUCCAUCUUGGUCCUUUGCCUUGGAACUGUGACAU